rnacentral:rRNA from 1 species
AAUCUUCCGCAAUGGACGAACGUCUGACGGAGCAACGCCGCGAGAGUGAUGAAGGUCUUCGGUUCGUAAAACUCUGUUGUUAGGGAAGAACAAGUAUCGUUCGAAUAGGGCGGUACCUUGACGGUACCUAACCAGCAAGCCACGGCUAACUACGUGCCAGCAGCCGCGGUAAUACGAAGGUGGCAAGGGUUAUCCGGAAUUAUUGGGCUUAAGGGACGGGCAGGCGGUUUCUUAAGUCGAAUGGGAAGGCCGACGGCUCAACCGAGGAGGGUCAUUGGAAGCUGGGAAGCUUGGGUGCAGAAGAGGAGAGAGGAAUUCCAUGUGUAGCGGUGAAAUGCGUAGAGAUAUGGAGGAACACCAGUGGCGAAGGCGACUCUCUGGUCUGCAACUGACGCUGAGGCGCGAAAGCGUGGGGAGCGAACA